UACGAGAGGCCCAAACGUUAUUCGGAAUUACUGGGCUUAAAGAGUUCGUAGGCGGCAUUGCAAGUAGGGUGUGAAAGCCCUCGGCUCAACCGAGGAAUUGCGCUCUAAACUGCAGUGCUUGAGGACCUAGAGGUGAGCAGAACAGAUGGUGGAGCGGUGAAAUGCGUUGAUAUCAUCUGGAAUACCGGAGGCGAAGGCGGCUCACUGGGAGUUUUCUGACGCUGAGGAACGAAAGCGUGGGGAGCAAACAGG
rnacentral:rRNA from 1 species